rnacentral:lncRNA from 1 species
UGAACAACCAACAAGGUACAUUAUGAACAAAGACUAGUCAAUCAAAUUUAAUAAUAACAAUAGAUAGAUUAUUUUUACCUCCAUUGAGCCAAAGAAGAAGGGGAAGUGUUUCUUUAGAAUGUUGAGCUUCAACAAAGUAAUAGUAAAAGGCUCUACCACCCAAUUUAUCCAAUUUGACAUACCCUCCAAAUUGAGAGAAUUUCACCAAUGGUUGCCCUGGAAGACUCUUAAUCCUAUCUUUCUCUUUGAGACCCUCUUGAGAAUGAAUGGCAUCAUCAUACACAAUUUCUUGUACCUCAAAUUCACUCCUAUCAAUUUGUGAAUUUCCUUUGUAUUUCUCCUUGUGAAGAUUGUCAAGAGCUUUAACUUGUUGGUUUCCAUGGAUUUCAAUCACAAAGUAUGAAAGAAUUAGAAAGGAUAGAAGAAGAGAAUAACUAUUUGCUUUUCUCAUUGUGUUUUUAUUUGUUGUGUCUUUCUAUGAAGAUUCACAAGGGGGAAUGAAGAUAUAUAUGAAGGUGAGAACUUAAAAGUAUGAGGAUUAUGAGGUAUAUAAAUCCAAAAGUAGCUAGCUGUUUCAUGUAACUAUCAUAUUGUAGAAUAGAGAAUAAUUAUAAAAUGAUAUUUAUUUUUUUGAAAUUAGGAAACCAAGAUGGGGUAAGAUUGGGUAGCCCCCCAAAAUUGAUAUGAUAAGGCUAUGAAUCAAGUUGGGCAUUAAGAGUUUGUUCUUGGCUACCAAUCAUGUUAGGACUUAGGAGGCCAUGUGAGUGGAUUAUUGGAAAUAUAUAGUACAAAAAUUAUUCAUGUGUGUAUCCCCUAAAAAAAAGUGUAUUUGUAUGUUCCAUAAUUCCACUCUUGUGAGUCUAAAAAUUUAUUAAUUUUGAUUUCAACGACAAUGAUUAUAAAGUAAAAUAUAAUAUUUACUUCAUACUAUAAUAUCUUAAAAAUUUGAAUUAUAUAACUCAAUUUUACAAAACUAAAUUGUAAGGUGACGAUUAAAUCUCACUUAUAAAAAUAAGCAUUUGUGUGGAACUUUUGUCACACUCU